rnacentral:rRNA from 1 species
AGUGAACGCUGGCGGUAGGCCUAACACAUGCAAGUCGAACGGCAGCACAGUAAGAGCUUGCUCUUACGGGUGGCGAGUGGCGGACGGGUGAGGAAUACAUCGGAAUCUACUUUUUCGUGGGGGAUAACGUAGGGAAACUUACGCUAAUACCGCAUACGACCUACGGGUGAAAGCAGGGGAUCUUCGGACCUUGCGCGAUUGAAUGAGCCGAUGUCGGAUUAGCUAGUUGGCGGGGUAAAGGCCCACCAAGGCGACGAUCCGUAGCUGGUCUGAGAGGAUGAUCAGCCACACUGGAACUGAGACACGGUCCAGACUCCUACGGGAGGCAGCAGUGGGGAAUAUUGGCCAAUGGGCGCAAGCCUGAUCCAGCCAUACCGCGUGGGUGAAGAAGGCCUUCGGGUUGUAAAGCCCUUUUGUUGGGAAAGAAAAGCAGCAGGUUAAUACCCCGCUGUUCUGACGGUACCCAAAGAAUAAGCACCGGCUAACUUCGU